rnacentral:lncRNA from 1 species
CUUCUCCUUAGACUCCACAUAUGGUAAUCUACAUCAAGCAUGUAUUCAACUGAUUCGCGUCGAAGCGGCGGCUCAGCUCUUGCUAGCCUUGCUGCCACGAUCUGCAUGGCCUGAUAACGGAGCCAAUCAAUGUGGCGAACAGGUAUUGGUUGAACAUAAUGCAUUUUGGGAAGCAAAGGUCUUCCAUAUUGAGCUACCAUAUUAACCCAAGCUGUGCAAGUGAACCUCACAGCCAAGUGAAGCUCUCCAUUCUUCUUUAGGCCAUUGGUUUGGAGAACCAAUAGAGGAUAAUAAUGAGUAUAUACUCUAUCAGUUUCGAGUGUUGAUAACCUUAUUCUCACCUUUCCAAUUCUCUGAUCUUUGUUGUCACUGCUCCCAUUGAGGUGGUGAUUGUCGAAAACACUAACCGUGAUCACAGUGCAUGGAUCAUGAACCUCCCAUGUAUACUGUUCAUUCCACCUAGGCGACAGUGUAUCAAGCAGAGUUCUUGUCCUAACCCAUUUGUUACCGUACUUGGCCACACAGUAUGCAUCAGUAGUCCUACCAUCUUUGCCUUUCAUAGGUAGCAAAUUCCGGGCACUAAGUAUCCCGAGUUCGAGAAUUCCAAUGUUUUUCCUCCUUAAGUGUUUGGACGACGGUUGAAGAUCGCUGCUGAAAUGUGUCGAUUCAUCAAGAACAUGAUACCCUGCUUCCAGACAAAUCCGGAGGUGAAUCUUGCUCGAGAAUUUCUCCUUCUUUCUCUCCGUCUCCUCUUCACCGACCUCACUAGGCCUAUGAAGAUUGAACCAACGUGCAUCCGGGAGCUUACCCGUCUCUUGUCUUUGCGGAACAUUUCUCACCGACAUGACCUCUCUUCCCAAGAUUUCAACAUUGUUAGGACCAAAUUUGUCCUCAACUGUCACAAUUAUAAAAUCCUCAAAAGGUUCACAACUUAGUAUAGCUUGAGCUCUUUCUCCUUGAGUAGCUAAAUCUCCAACCACAGUCUGUACUCUACCUGCAACACUUCUCAAUCUGUCAUACCUCAUUCUCACAAUAUCCGAAGGUCUUGAAGUUGGAAAAGUGUCAAAUUCCUCAUCCAAUUCAUCUGGAUGCACAGCUUCUGCUUGCGAAAGUCUAGCAUCCAUGUGUGGUGGAUUCCUUGGCCGGAACCGGUAAUUCCAAAUCCCGAUUACAAACAAAUAAAGAAAACUGGUUGGCAAUAUCAAUUCAGGGUAGAAAAUAAGUAUCAAGAACAAGACAUGAACAAGGCAAGUUGUGAUUGGGUUUCUCCAAGUGCAAAUAUCAUCAAGCCAUUUACACACAGCUGAAAAACCCGAGAGUAGCGACAUUAUGCGGUGAAAAUUGGCUUUGCUUCUCCUUAGACUCCACAUAUGGUAAUCUACAUCAAGCAUGUAUUCAACUGAUUCGCGUCGAAGCGGCGGCUCAGCUCUUGCUAGCCUUGCUGCCACGAUCUGCAUGGCCUGAUAACGGAGCCAAUCAAUGUGGCGAACAGGUAUUGGUUGAACAUAAUGCAUUUUGGGAAGCAAAGGUCUUCCAUAUUGAGCUACCAUAUUAACCCAAGCUGUGCAAGUGAACCUCACAGCCAAGUGAAGCUCUCCAUUCUUCUUUAGGCCAUUGGUUUGGAGAACCAAUAGAGGAUAAUAAUGAGUAUAUACUCUAUCAGUUUCGAGUGUUGAU